rnacentral:snRNA from 1 species
UGUGCUCACCACAUGGCUGCG